rnacentral:rRNA from 1 species
CAGUCGCCGCGGUAAUACAGAGGGUGCGAACGUUGCUCGGAAUUACUGGGCGUAAAGCGCGUGUAGGCGGGUCGGCAAGUCAGGCGUGAAAUCCCCAGGCUCAACCUGGGAACUGCGCUUGAAACUGCCGGUCUUGAGUAUCGGAGAGGGUGGCGGAAUUCCUGGUGUAGAGGUGAAAUUCGUAGAUAUCAGGAGGAACACCGGUGGCGAAGGCGGCCACCUGGACGAUAACUGACGCUGAGACGCGAAAGCGUGGGGAGCAAACAGGAUUAGAUACCCCCGUAGUCCCUGUCUCUUAUAC